UGGUAGAGGAGCGUUGUAUUAGGGAAGAAGCAGAAGCGAAAGCAAAGGUGGACUUAAUACAAGUGAGAAUGCUGGCAUGAGUAGCGAAAAGAGAUGUGAGAAUCAUCUCCGUCGAAACCCUAAGGAUUCCUGAGCAAGGCUCGUCCACUCAGGGUAAGUCGGGACCUAAGCCAAGGCCGAAAGGCGUAGGCGAUGGACAACAGGUUUAGAUUCCUGUACCGCUUAAAGUCGUAAUUCAGAGAUGUGAUGACGCAAGAGGAUAAGCUAAGCUAGCAGAUGGAUGCUAGUCUAAGAGUCAAGGCCAGUGUGUAGGCAAAUCCGCACACUACAAAGGCUAAGGCUUGAUAGGUAUCGAAAACAUGAGUAGAGAAGUAGCUGAUUUCAAAUUGCCAAGAAAAGUCACUAUCGAGACCAAAGCGCCCGUACCCGAAACCGACACAGGUAGGGAGGUAGAGAAUACCAAGACGCGCGGAAGAACCUUUGUUAAGGAACUCGGCAAAAUGUCCCCGUAACUUCGGGAGAAGGGGAGCCAGAGCGAUCUGGCCACAGAAACCAGGCCCAAGCGACUGUUUACCAAAAACACAAGUUUCUGCAAAAUCGUAAGAUGAAGUAUAGGAGCUGACACCUGCCCGGUGCUGGAAGGUUAAGGAGAAGGCUUAGCAAACGCGAAGGCUCGAACUUAAGCCCCAGUAAACGGCGGCCGUAACUAUAACGGUCCUAAGGUAGCGAAAUUCCUUGUCGGGUAAGUUCCGACCCGCACGAAAGGUGUAACGAUUUGGGCACUGUCUCAACAAAGGAUCCGGUGAAAUUGUAGUAGUCGUGAAGAUGCGACUUACCCACGCUAGGACGGAAAGACCCCGUGGAGCUUUACUGUAGGCUGAUAUUGGACUUUGAGAUUAGAUAUACAGGAUAGUUGGGAGACAAUGAAGCAUGUACGCCAGUAUGUGUGGAGUCACCCUUGGGAUACCAACUUUCUAAUAUUAAAGUUCUAACAUUGACCCUUGAAUCAGGGCAAUGGACAUUGUCAGUUGGGCAGUUUGACUGGGGCGGUCGCCUCCUAAAAAGUAACGGAGGCGUUCAAAGGUUCGCUCAGAAUGGACGGAAACCAUUCGUAGAGUAUAAAGGCAUAAGCGAGCUUAACUGCAAAACCUACAAGUUGCGCAGAGUAGAAAUACGGACUUAGUGAUCCGGUGGUACCGCAUGGAAGGGCCAUCGCUCAACGGAUAAAAGCUACCCCGGGGAUAACAGGCUUAUCUCCCCCAAGAGUCCACAUCGACGGGGAGGUUUGGCACCUCGAUGUCGGCUCGUCUCAUCCUGGGGCUGAAGUAGGUCCCAAGGGUUGGGCUGUUCGCCCAUUAAAGAGGCACGCGAGCUGGGUUCAGAACGUCGUGAGACAGUUCGGUCCCUAUCCAGCGUGGGCGUAAGAAAUUUGAGAGGAUCUGUCCCUAGUACGAGAGGACCGGGAUGGACACACCUAUGGUGUA
rnacentral:rRNA from 1 species